rnacentral:rRNA from 1 species
UACGAAGGGUGCAAACGUUGCUCGGAAUUAUUGGGCGUAAAGAGCUCGUAGGCGGUCUGUCGCGUCGGUCGUGAAAACUUGGGGCUUAACCCUGAGCUUGCGGUCGAUACGGGCAUGACUGGAGUUCGGCAGGGGAGACUGGAAUUCCUGGUGUAGCGGUGAAAUGCGCAGAUAUCAGGAGGAACACCGGUGGCGAAGGCGGGUCUCUGGGUCGAUACUGACGCUGAGGAGCGAAAGCGUGGGGAGCGAACAGG